rnacentral:lncRNA from 1 species
GUUGUUUUCCUCUCCUCUAAGGUGGUGUAAAUCCAAAGCAGCUUCACUGAAGCCUCAGGAAUUAGCAGCAUAGAAACGAAGGACAGGAGAAAGCAUAUGGUACUGAAGAGACAAAAGCUGAUGUACCUCAACAAUGUGACCCAAUGUGCAGUGCUCUGCUGUGCAAAAGGACAAGCUGCUGCCUGUAAUGUCCUUCUCCAAGGAAGUGAACGCCAGCACUUGCUGCCGAUAACCCCCUCGACUGCCAUUGUGACAGUGGCCUGGAAGCAGAGCUCUUGCUGGUACAUGAUACAAUCUGAAGCAAAGCUUUUAUCACGAGCCCUGUGGUUUUUUGAAUGAUCCUUAAAGCCUGCAGCUGCUGGAAGGAAGAGCUGCCUGAGCAUCGCUGCAGUCCCCAUAGGCAGGAAGCAGACACUUCUGGCUCUUAGAGCAGCAGGGACAGUUUGAAGCUUGGUUUUAUGUAUUGGGUGUGGAGAGGAGAAAAAUAAGACUCGUGUUGAGGCAGUGUGUCCUACAUGGCCACAGCUUUAUCUCAGUGCAAGAGAGGCAAAAGAGCAGAUGGCACCUUGGGACUGUUGCUGCUGUCACAUCAUGUACCUCUCCCAGCCCAGGGAUUUGCAGAAACCAACUAAAUGGGUGUUCAUAGAAUCACAGAAUGAAUCAUAGUAUCAUAGAAUCAUAGAAUGGCUUGGGUUGGAAGGGUCCUCAAGGAUCAUUGAGUUCCAACUCUCAGCUGCUAGGUCACUCACUAGAUAAGACUGGCCAGAGCUUCAAAAACUCACCCCAGACACAGACACAUGACUCUGACCUCAGUGUACUUAUUAAGAGAACCAGGUCACCAGCAGGACUGAAAGACUGACCUUGUUGCUAUGGAAUUUUCCAUUGCACACAUUUCAAGAACAGGAUAUCCCUCUCCACUCACUUCUCCAAGAGGCACAUCCUCCAUCACACUUUGCUUCCUGACACUGUUUCUCAAGUCCAAGCUUACAUGCACAAGUCUUGAAACCCAAAAGCUGCUCAGAGGUGUAAGUCAGGGGCAUGGAUGCCUGUAUUUCCUCCAGCCAGAACCACGUUAUCAAAAGGCUCUCUAUGGAUUUCCUUUGCUCCUAUUGUCUCUUUACCCUGCAUUUUAAUUCUCCAAACAAAAAAUGUUCUUCAGAGGAAGCACCCUCAGCCUGCUUUUGCUGCAGACAGUUCACAAACCCUGCUGUGCUAUAUGAACACUGGUUGUAGUCUCGAGGAGUUCAG